rnacentral:rRNA from 1 species
AUUGAACGCUGGCGGCAGGCCUAACACAUGCAAGUCGAGCGAGCGGCGGACGGGUGAGUAAUGUAUGGGGACUCCCCGAUAGAGGGGGAUAACUACUGGAAACGGUAGCUAAUACCCCAUACUCCCUGAUUACCCAUAUGGGAUUAGCUAGUAGUGGGGGUAAGGGCUCACCUAGACGACGAUCCCUAGCUGGUCUGAGAGGAGGAGCAGCCACACUGGGACUGAGACACGGCCCAGACUCCUACGGAGGCAGCAGUGGGGAAUAUUGCACAAUGGGCGCAAGCCUGAUGCAGCCAUGCCGCGUGUAUGAAGAAGGCCCUCGGGUUGUAAAGUACUUUCAGUCGGGAGGCGUUACCGACAGAAGAAGCACCGGCUAACUCCGUGCCAGCAGCCGCGGUAAUUC